rnacentral:piRNA from 1 species
UCCACGAAGCCCCAAAGGCUGGAGCCCAGGUC